AACACUGCAGCACCACAGAACAAAACAUCAGCUGACCGCAGUGUGCCGGAGCCACGGAGAGUAGGUACUGGUUUCGCUCACACUCAGUGUUCCCGCUGAGUUAGUCAUUUGCCACGUCAAUUAAAUUACUUAAAUAACAUAAUCUUACCAAACCAGACUUACUAACUCUUACGUUUUUCACUGCCCUCUCACGGGUCAAACGGAGGGUGUGUGUGUGUGUGUGUGUUUACCUGUGUAGGCUGCUGUGUGUCUGAGUUUGGGAAAAGAGAAUUCCAAGGACGGGUGAAGAUGAAACAGACAUUGCUGACACUCCUCACUGUGGUCACUGAUGCUCCUGGUGGAGCAAGAGAAAGGUGCUGUGGACCAAAGGCAGCAGUCCGAUCCCUGGUGGUGGUGUUUCUUCAUGAGUCCCUUUCUGUUGGUUUGUAGUGUCACGGGUGAUUAGGUAAAGUAUUGUCCUGCUUUGUUUUGGCUUCUUCCUGCAGUGUGGUAAGUCACAGCACUCCCCACCUGCCCUGCCACUGUGCUAUAUUUUUAUAUAGUAUUUGUAGUGUUUUUAGGAUUAAUUUAAAAAAAACCUGCCCUGUGUCUAUUUAUGAACCUGUGUGCCUUCAUUUAUUAAUGUUGGCUGUAAAUAAAAUUUCUUGAGGUGAAA